CUAGCUGUAAACGUUGGAUACUGGGUAUUUGGGGGGUAAGACCCUUGAGUGCCGAAGCAAACGCGUUAAGUAUCCCGCCUGGGGACUACGGCCGCAAGGUUAAAACUCAAAGGAAUUGACGGGGACCCGCACAAGCAGCGGAGCGUGUGGUUUAAUUCGAUGCAACACGAAGAACCUUACCUGGGUUUGACAUGUACGUAGUAGGGAAGCGAAAGCGGACCGACCCUUCGGGGAGCGUACACAGGUGC
rnacentral:rRNA from 1 species